UACGGGGGGUGCGAGCGUUGUCCGGAAUCAUUGGGCGUAAAGGGCGCGUAGGUGGCGGGACAAGCGUGCGGUGAAAGCUCGGGGCUCAACCCCGAGUCGGCCGUGCGAACUGUUUUGCUUGAGCACUGUAGAGGCAGGUGGAAUUCCCGGUGUAGCGGUGGAAUGCGUAGAGAUCGGGAAGAACAUCGGUGGCGAAGGCGGCCUGCUGGGCCGUUGCUGACGCUGAGGCGCGACAGCGUGGGGAGCAAACAGG
rnacentral:rRNA from 1 species